AAUCAACUAACAAACACCGCCGAU
rnacentral:siRNA from 1 species